UACAGAGGUCUCAACCGUUGUUCGGAUUCAUUGGGCGUAAAGAGCGCGUAGGCGGCCAGAUAAGUCCGGUGUGAAAGUCAAAGGCUCAACCUUUGAAUGCCGCUGGAAACUGUCUGGCUAGAGUCCGGGAGGGGCGAGUGGAAUUCCUGGUGUAGCGGUGAAAUGCGCAGAUAUCAGGAGGAACACCAAUGGCGAAGGCGGCGCUCUGGGCCGGAACUGACGCUGAGGAGCGAAAGCGUGGGUAGCAAACAGG
rnacentral:rRNA from 1 species